UUUGGGUUGAAAAUAGAAAUAAAAACAAAACUUCCCCAUAUCGUUCGACUUUGUGCAUGACUCGCGUUCAUUUGAGACGUUGUGAAUGGAGUUUGUUCACUUUGAUUAACAAAAUUGGAAUCAAGCUCACCAUCCCGUCGGAACCUCGGUUCAAAUCCCAUAUUAUCUGUACAAGCCCUGCAAGAUGCGGAACCGAACAAAGAAUCAGAUUUCCCCGGAAACUCGCUCAUAAUCUUGAGUUACCUGCUUUUGCUUCCAUUUUUGAUGUGAUGGCCAAUCAUAUACUGGAUAUUGACAAGCAAGAACAUCUACCAUUACAAUUUGCCAAGUACAAACACCAAAUAACAAAGCUCCCCGAGCAACUGAUGGAACUGCGUGGUCACCUGCUUAACCAGGAACAAUUGAAAAAUCGUAUGAAAAAGACGGAGGGAAGAAAGAACCUCAACGCAUAUAUCAAAAGACUGAAGAAUCUACCGAUGGACACCGACUGUGGUUUCUGGGUCAUGCUCAGCGCCGUCCGACAAUCCGUGAACACACUAACCACCACAGUCCUCAACCUCCGACGACGCCACUCUCAUCGGUGAACGCUUUCGACCGAAAGAGACCGUGCCUUGUUUGCCAAGCCAACGGAAUACCUCACCGUAAAGUCCAAGUUCACUUGUGACCCCGAUGACCACUGGCCCCAGAACUCUUACAUCAUUCAGUCGACCUGUCAGAAACUGUUUAUUGGAGUUAUCCAUGCAAACCAAUUUAUGCAGGUUUCUAUCUUUUCACUGUGACCUUUCAAGUUUACAUACCGAGCUCAAUAAAUCACGAAGGGAAGUGAACUCUGAGUGAUAUGCCAUUCGAGUUCCAAAGGAGAACAGCUGGGAUAACAUGAACAGUAACAGGGUGUUCCAGAAGAGUAUUACAUAAAAAUCAUAUUCAACAUCAAAUGAGCCUUACAGGGAUAUUAAAAGUGACAUGCACGGUGAAAUCGCACAUUAACAUCUGGAGAAGAAAGUUGGGUAUUUCAUCAAAAUUGUUUUCUGUGUAAUGUUUGUGAAAGAAAUAUUUUAUUCGACACCCGGGGGGG
rnacentral:lncRNA from 1 species